GUGAUGAAGUGCUGCUAAUGAGCCUCUUUUGCUUGUUUAUUUUAACAGCCAGAAAAAAUUACAUUAGUGCUCUGCGGUGAGCGGGCGGUGUGGAUUUCCUCGGGGAAUCCCUCCGGAGUGUUCGGAACAAGCAGCGGAGCUCCUCGCCUAAUUGGGAGCGGACUAAUUUGCUGUCUUUUCCAGCUGAGCUUCUGGGUCCCUCAGAGUCCGGAGACCCGCUGACCGCUGUUCAGUUAAGAAAUCCCCAUGUCUGGGAUGUGGCACAGCUGCCCAGUGAGGUGGUGGGGUCACUGCCCCUGGAGAUGGUCCUGGAGAGCCAUGGAGAUGUGGCACUGAGGAGCAUGGUUUUCCUGUAUCCUAGCAAUGACUGUGUUUGAGUGAAGCUCUGCACGGAACAGCCAGCUCCUGGUGGCAGUGCUCACACCACCAGCCCCUCGCCUGCUCUCCUGCCACCUCUCCAAAACAUGAUCUCCCAUCCCCUCCGCAAAACUGAUGGCACACCUCAGGCAACAUUGUUCUUUGCAACUCGCAAUUUGCACCUUGCAGCAAUGAUUGUGGUGUUGGAAUAACAUCAGUUCUGCAUGUGAC
ensembl:lncRNA